rnacentral:lncRNA from 1 species
UAGUUUGGGGGGCCGGGGGUGAGAGGUGCCGGCAGUGGCGCGGAGCAGCUGCUUGUGCAUUCGCUGCAUGCCUGACUGCAGAACCGAGUUGCAUAAGGAGAAGGGAGAGGAGGGUUGCACGGAAAAGGGAAAUUUCCAAGAAAAGAGGGAUCUGCGGCAAUAUCUGCACCUCGGGGGAUGAAGAGAGGAACCAACAGGCAUAAAUGGCCUGGAGACGGCUGAAAUCUUCGCCGAGGAGAUUGGCACCGCGGGGUUAUUUUCCACCUGCCUCCCCUACCCAUUUCUGUAAUCCUGGCUCAAAGUAGACAAGUCGAGUUGGAGCUGAAGAAGGGAGGUUAGAGGGGUUUUUAUUUCAUUUGGGAGGGGAGAAACAAAAAAAAAAAAGGAAGCAAAAAUGAGAGGUUGGUUGUGCCUCCCCGGGUUGAGCAUCUCCGUGGCGCGAGGCAAUGCAGGAUGAUCCAGAGGAGCACUCGCCGGGAGCAGGGAUGUGAGGAUCCGGCACCCACCGGGACACGAGCCUCAGCAUUCCCAGGAGAAAUUUCACCCGGCGGAGUCGAAUUCCCACGGGGGCGAUGCCACACCUCCCGAGGACACUGGAGACAUCGGGUUUUGCUGAGCUUAGCAGCUUUUCACCGUCGUACCAAAGGCAUCAGACAGACGCUCAUCUGCCCUGAAGUGCAUAUCUGCAACAGCUCCCGGGAAGACUCUGUCUCUCUGUCUCUCUGUCUCUCUUUUCUCUCUCUCUCCAGUCCAAACCAUUACAAGACCUGACUUCCACCAUCUGGGAAUUUAACCCCUCUUAUGUCCCUUCUCCUUUUUCUACGAUGACUCACCAUUAUUUUUAACUUUGAAGAGAGAGGAAAUUAUGGGGAUCUUGGAAGCCUGUAUUUCUCUCUAGGAUUUCCCCGGGGUCAGAUAAUCGGUGUUACUAAGAGACUAAGAUUUGGCUUCUCCAGGUAAUGUGAUUUGUUUUCUGUGUGCCAUGGUGGUUUGCAAAGGAUGACAGGAGCCGGGACACCAGCGGCCGAGGAGGGGGACUGCGGUGGUCCACGGGGAAUCGCUGGCUCCGCAUUCCAGAGCUUGGCUGCAGGCAGGGAGGGCAGCAUGUCGCCGAGCCGCUGCUUCGUGGCUAGGGCAAGAGGAUUGGGAAGGUGUUAAAAGCCGAGUUCGAGUUUUUCUGGAGGGUCGAUUGCCUGAGAUCGCACGGUUAAAUGUUAAUUAACCCUUCACUGCAUGCUUGGGAAUGAGCUGAGCCCGGCACCCCCUGGGGUCCCCUUGCCACUUUAGGGCUGG